CCGGUCCCGCCCUUGGGGAAGAAUGGGCCUCUCUGUCCGGAGGCCUCUGAGACGUGCUGAGCAUCCAGACAUGGCAAAGCGCCUGCAGGGUGUGGGGUCUCCCCUGCAGGAUCUGCUUGUUCGUUUCCGGCGGGAGAAAUGGACAAUGGGGUCUCUAAGGACCGUUUCCCGCCACUGGUCCCAUUGUUGCCAUCCCUGCCUUCCUCCUGGGCCUCUAUUGGGCAAAAGGCUAGUGAGAUCCAGGACAGACAAAGCCUGUGGCUCGAAAGCCUUUGAGUGAGGUGUGUGCUAGGUUUCUUAGGACAUCAAUCAGAUUCCUGGGAAACCGCUUCAGCUCGAGUGCUGGGCAGAGUGGGAGUGGAGUUCUAGAAAUGCGUGACCUCCUUUGAGGCUUUCCAUCGGUGCAUCAUCAGUCCCAACAGACUUUUCAUUCAGACUGGGAGAGUGAUAAGGCUGUCCAGGGAGCAGACAUAAGGUUCCUUGCCCCAGACUGCCAAGGAAGGUACCUGGUGGUGCCACGCCCUACAUAGGUCCUGGGAUGACCACUUUGGAAUAUUUAUAGUCAGAGGACUUAAAUCACACCUGUGUGUAUUCUGAGGGUGGACACAGAGCAUGCUCCGUUUAUGUAAACUGCUUCUGGAGAGGGAGGGGUGAUGAGGGUAAGAGGUCACUCCUGAAGAGUAGGUAACACCAUUUUCUCCCUCCAUAUCAGCCUCUGAACUGGCCCCU
rnacentral:lncRNA from 1 species